rnacentral:rRNA from 1 species
CGGACGGGUGAGUAACGCGUGGAAAACCUGCCGUAUACUGGGGGAUAACACUUAGAAAUAGGUGCUAAUACCGCAUAAGCGCACAGCUUCGCAUGAAGCGGUGCGAAAAACUCUGGUGGUAUACGAUGGUUCCGCGUCUGAUUAGCUAGUUGGUGGGGUAAUGGCCUACCAAGGCAACGAUCAGUAGCCGGCCUGAGAGGGUGAACGGCCACAUUGGGACUGAGACACGGCCCAAACUCCUACGGGAGGCAGCAG